AUCUGGUUGAUCCUGCCAGAGGCUACCGCUAUUGGAGUUCGAUUAAGCCAUGCGAGUCGAGAGUCUUAGGGACUCGGCGUACCGCUCAGUAACACGUGGGUAACCUGCCCUAUGCUGGGGAAUAACCUCGGGAAACUGAGAAUAAUACCCCAUAGUUCACCACGCCUGGAACGGUGGGUGGACGAAAGCUCCGGCGGCAUAGGAUGGGCCUGCGACGUAUCAGGUUGUAGGGGGUGUUACGUACCCUCUAGCCAUCAACGCGUACGGGUGUUGGGAGACAUAGCCCGGAGAUGGAUUCUGAGACACGAAUCCAGACCCUACGGGGUGCAGCAGGCGCGAAAACUUGGCAAUGCGAGCAAUCGUGACCAGGGAACUCCAAGUGGCUGGGGUAAUACCCAGUUUUUUCUUGACUCUUCAAAGGUCUUGGAAUAAGGGGGUGGGUAAGGACGGUGCCA
rnacentral:rRNA from 1 species